rnacentral:rRNA from 1 species
UACGGUGGGGGCAAGCGUUGUUCGGAAUUACUGGGCGUAAAGGGCGCGUAGGCGGUUGGAUAAGUCAGCUGUGAAAACCACGGGCUUAACUCGUGGCCUGCAGUUGAGACUGUCUGGCUUGAGUGUGGGAGAGGAGAGUGGAAUUCCUGGUGUAGCGGUGAAAUGCGCAGAUAUCGGGAGGAACACCUAUGGCGAAGGCAGCUCGCUGGGACGUUACUGACGCUGAGACGCGAAAGCGUGGGGAGCAAACAGG